CUUGGAAUUGCCACUAACCAGGACCAGUAGGGAAUCCUGACUUGCUGUCAGCAGGAGGUUCUCAUUCAGUCCCCCAGAACUGAUCCGUGCUCCCUCAUCCAGUGCUGUGGCAGCAGAGGAGCAAUCUGACAAAAUGGCAUCUGACAGUGGAAUUGCUUAUGGAGAAAAGGUGUGUUGUUGAAAUCUUUCAUGUGGAAAAAGUGGCACCCAUUGACAUUCACUGAUACUUGCUGAACGUUUCUGGAGACCAAACAGUGGCUGUGAGCACAGUGAGGGGAUGAGAAGGUGAAGGGAAAUCCUUAAGACCACUCUUCAAGUGGAGGAAGCAGGAUAGAAGACUCAUAAUCAUGUCCUAACAGCGCUUCCAUGACUGAGAGAUAAUGGACACAUCUGCAUCAUGAUCAAAAUAUCUAGCAUAGUGGUCCAUGAUCCAUCACUGUGCUCCCAAGGUGCUCCUGCAAGACAGAUUUCAGCCACCGUUCCCUUUGUAUAGGUACCUUUACCUGUGAAUCUGAAGAGAAUGCUGUGUGGACUGUGAAUUCCUGUCAGAAGACACGGUAAGUAUUUGGACAGCUAAUUCAUGCAGGUCCCUGAGCUACCACUGCUAGUAUUAAGCUCACUAGUUAAAGCCGCUUUAGAUGAAUGCAGCUACAGCAGAAGCUGAAUGAUAAAUAUUCCCAAAUGUAACCAAACAAACUGGCAAACUCUGAAUAAAUAUAUGAAAUACAUCGUAGUAGUCACAAACUCUGCUUGUUACUCUCAAGAGGAAUAAAUUUUGUUUAGGGCCACAAACCAGGCCCUCUUUUACAGCAUUUUGGAUUUUAUGCUACCUUACAAGCGCAAAAGGACAAUAAAGCAAUGGUAAAUAUUCAAAAAUUACUUUACCGUGGACUGUGUUAUCUCACUUAUAUCUUUCUAUCCUACCCCUAAGGUCAGACAUACAGGGUGGUUUUUACACACUGUGCUUGUGCACCGGUGACAUCUGGAUGAAAACGAGACAUAUAGCUAUAGGAUGUUGUAAAAAAAACGUCAGCCAUUCUUUUCAUGUUGUAAAAGACAAUAACAAAUGGAGUUGUCAAUGGUAGUAAUCCCAUCCAUGUAUAAAUCCCAGAAGACUAGAAACAGCGUUCUUGGAAAUGUUGUCAUCCCAAAAAAUCCAAGCAUAGAAGAUAAAGCUGUUCAAAGGAGCUGGUCUUCCACCUGGUAGUAGAGAUCAGUCAUCCUUGACUUAAAAUCCAAUAAAAUUGGAUUCUACUUAGUCCAAUAGGAAUAGCUCUUGUUCUCAAUGUCUAACAUGAAGUGGUCCAUCAGAUGGACACCACAGUUCACCUUUGCAUUCCAGCUACACAAACAGUUAUGAAAGGAACUUCUUACGACUGCAGAGAAGCUGCCAGGAGAGAGCUGGGAAGCAGACAGGCAGUUCUGCUUACUGGAACUCAUCUGUGUGAAUUUGCUUUAGCUGCCAUGCAAUGUUCAGAAGAUAUAAGAAAAUGACAGUUUACUCAGAGAAAGGAGAUAAAAGGACAUCCAUGG
ensembl:lncRNA